GACGAACGCUGGCGGCGUGCUUAACACAUGCAAGUCGAACGGAAAGGCCCUGCUUUUGUGGGGUGCUCGAGUGGCGAACGGGUGAGUAACACGUGAGUAACCUGCCCUUGACUUUGGGAUAACUUCAGGAAACUGGGGCUAAUACCGGAUAGGAGCUCCUGCUGCAUGGUGGGGGUUGGAAAGUUUCGGCGGUUGGGGAUGGACUCGCGGCUUAUCAGCUUGUUGGUGGGGUAGUGGCUUACCAAGGCUUUGACGGGUAGCCGGCCUGAGAGGGUGACCGGCCACAUGGGGACUGGGAUACGGCCCAGACUCCUCGGGGGGGCAGCAGGGGGGAAUAUUGCACAAGGGGCGGAAGCCUGAUGCAGCAGCCCCGCGGGCGGGAUGACGGCCUUCGGUUUGAAACCCGUUUUCGCCUGUGACGAAGGGUGAGUGACGGUAAUGGGUAAAGAAGCCCCGGCUAACUACGUG
rnacentral:rRNA from 1 species